rnacentral:rRNA from 1 species
AUGCCGCCGACGACCCCGGUUCCAUUUCUGCCGGAAGAGCUUCUCGAGGAGGUCUUCCUCCACCUCCCGCCGGACGAGCCGGAGCACCUCGUGCGCGCCUCCCUCGCCAGCAAGCUAUGGCUCGGCCUCCUCACCGGCGCUCGCUUCCGCGGCCGCUACCACGACCACCAUGGAGCUCCCCCCAUGCUCGGCUUCCUAUAUACCCUGCCCUUCUUAUGGUCCAGUCCGCUGUCGACAGACCCCCGCCCACACUUCGUCCCCACCACGAAAUUCGCCGCACGCAUUCCCGACCACCUCCGGGAGUACGAUGCGCAGGACUGCCGCCAUGGCCGCGUUCUCCUCAGGUAUAAGAUGCUCUUCAUUUGGAACCCCAUAACCGGCUGCUCCACGGAGCUGCCCACCUCCACAGAAUACAUGGAGGCCGAAAGCAGUGGGGCUGCGGUGCUCUGCGCCGUCACCGGCUGUGACCACCGCGCGUGUCAUGAGGGCCCCUUCCAGGUCGUCUUUGUCUACCUGGACCAGGAUGAGGGCGAGGGUGUUUGUGUUGCAUCCGCAGCCGUGCUCUUGUCUGAUUCCAGCAAGCGGCCCAAUGGCAAAUGGUGCGAGCCAUGCUCUCGUCUUCAUCUUGUGGAUGAUGCAUUCAUUGAGGCAAGACCCCCGGUCCUCGUCCAAGACGCACUUCACUUCAUGCUUAGGCACUAUGCGGAUUAUCGUCGUGUAGGAAUUCUCAAGUAUGACCUGGGCUCUAACUGCUUAUCACUAAUUGAUGCGCCAUUGGAGGGGCCUGUCAUUGACGAUGCCGCUACACUCAUGGCGAUGGAGGAUGACAGCUUGGGAUUUGCACAUGUGGAAAGGUUAACCCUCAAUCUGUGGUCAAGGCAGAUUGGUUCUCACGGAGUUGCCUCAUGGACUCAGCGUGCAAUCGUCGAUCUUGGGAACCUUCUCCCCGUUCAAAAUCCCGAGGAAGAUCUUGAACUGCUUGGAUCUGUGGAGGGCAGUGAUACUGUUUUCGUGACCACGGACAUGGGCAUCUACGAGAUUAAUCUCAAGUCACUACGAUGGAAGAAGCUGUGGAAGACAGACAAGUUCUGUGCUUUGAUUCCGUACAUGAGUUUCUACAACCGCUGA